AUACGGGGCUUAAAGUCUUGUAAUUGGAAUGAUGGGAAUCUAAACCCCUUCCAGAGUAUCAAUUGGAGGGCAAGUCUGGUGCCAGCAGCCGCGGUAAUUCCAGCUCCAAUAGCGUAUAUUAAACUUGUUGCAGUUAAAAAGCUCGUAGUUGAACUUCUGCUGUCAGGUUUUCGUUCCUUUCGGGGUUUCGUCAACCUGGUGGCUUUUUUCUGGGUGAAUUUAGCUUCGGCUUAAUUUCCCAGUAUUUUACUUUGAGAAAAUUAGAGUGCUUCAAGCAGGCUUUUGCCGUGAAUACUUCAGCAUGGAAUAAUAAAGUAGGACUUUGGUUC
rnacentral:rRNA from 1 species